GACUCUCCUGGUGUUCAUGGAGCUGGUGGAAUGGUUGGAAGGUUUAAGUAAGGUCAUGGGAUAGCUGAUGUACAAAGAGCUUAAGCUAUAACAGUCUGUGGUAAAACUGGGAUUUCCCGCACUUUCCUGCCUGGUCACUUGUCACAUGAGCUCCCUCGGCUUCCAGCAGCCCAAACUCACUCAUGGUGAGUGUUCAGUGCCAUUGGUGAUGAGAUAUUUAAAGAGAACCUAAUGAAUAACCAGAAUUGUGAAAAAUACAAGAGGAGUGCAAGGUGAUGGAUGAUAUAGAUAUCAAUUUUAGAAAAUGUUCUUAACAUAACACAGAGCAUACAAUGUCAAGAGUUCCACAUCCCUUUGGAUGGCCCUCUAAGGACCUAAGAGUCUUUCCUGCUUCAGAACCCUAUGGAAAUCUCAUUUUAUUAAAACAUAUAAGCCAUCAAAAUAAAAAAAAGACUGACUCCAUAGUUUGGCAGUUGCUCCCUGUGUUUCUUUGGAUAAGUAGAUUCUUCUCUGUGACUGAGUCAGUUUCGGAAGCUGCUCAUCAUGCAGAACAUAAGAGAAAUCAGGAAAGAUAGCGUGAAUUUAUUGUGACUGCCACCACUCAGUAUCUUUGAAGAACAGUGUGAUUGAUAUCACCUCUUGCAUCCACUUUUCCAAUCACUACUACAAAUUCCUGAUUAAAUUUACAGAGCUAUCAAUGACAAAGAUGAUUUUGCUGAUAAUUGAAUAUGUGAAAGGCAGCUGUCAACAGUGUGCGCUCCAUGAGAAAGGCUCAAAUCAUUUGUUUUGGAUUUUGAAUUGUCAAAACCCUGAGGUAAGCUGGGAAACUUUCAGCAGCAGCAGCCAAGGACACUUCGGACCCUUCCUGUCCCAAAGAUACUCUCUUCAGUCUAUGGUAACCUGGAGGGACAGAUAACCACCACCUCCUAGAGAGGGGACCUCAGAAAGCUAUUUCACCUCUCUGGUCUCAGACUCGUCAUCUGUCAGUCAGGUCAUACCAGGCCAUCCCUCAGAGUCUUUUGAUGACAUCAUAAAAGGCGCUUAUAAAUUUUUUUUUGUUUAUUGCAAUAACCGAAAUUAGAACAAUAGUGACAUCACUGUUAAAAGAUAAAAGAAGUCAUCCAAAGUCCAACCUCCAUGAUACAUAAACUACUCUAAUACACAAACUACCCAAAAGGUAUCAACACACACACAGCUGGAGAGGUAGCAACCAAAGAAAGAUGGGCAGGAAGGGCAGCCUGCAAGGACAGCAGUCAGAGAUCUGACCCCAGAGCCUGCCCCAGAAGGUCCCUGUGGGCUACUCACUUAAGCACGGUCAUAAUUUCCUCACAGUGUUGCCGCUGUCCAUUUCCCUCUAAGUACUGUCUCUUAACAGGCCCCUCACUACGGCGAAGCCCAUUUCCAGGGAAUUGGGGGUUUUGUUCACCUUGCUACAGAUAUCCUAGCUUACCUGAAUGGCACAUAAAGGUCUGUAUACAAGAGACUCUCACCCAUGUAGUUACAGGUGAAAAAAGUCCCAGUUUGUCUCCAAGGAUUGGUUUCCUAAUUCCUUAUUCACUGGUGACUUCCCAUAGAAAAGAGCAGAAGCUUUAACUCACUGA